rnacentral:rRNA from 1 species
UACGUAGGGUCCGAGCGUUGUCCGGAAUUACUGGGCGUAAAGAGCUCGUAGGCGGCUUGUUGCGUCAGCUGUGAAAACCCGCAGCUCAACUGUGGGCUUGCAGCUGAUACGGGCAGGCUUGAGUUCGGUAGGGGAGACUGGAAUUCCUGGUGUAGCGGUGAAAUGCGUAGAUAUCUGGAGGAAUACCGGUGGCGAAGGCGGCAUCCUGGACCGGCAUUGACGCUGAGGAGCGAAAGCCAGGGGAGCAAACGGG